AGACUAGCUAGUAGUCAUGACUAGCUAGCGCGAGUACGCGCACCGGGACCAGUCGCGAACAACUCACUAAUCUGGUGGGAUUAUUACAUCGAUCACAUAUCACAGUGUUGGCCAACAUGUGACGAGAUGUGAGCCACAGAACCGCCUGUUCGGUGGUGUUCGUCGCUGAGAUUAAUAUGUCGCAGCGGUGUACUUCAGCUGCUAAUAUCACCAAUGCUUAAGAUUUCAUCAGAAUUUACAAGACGCGUCGGUGCAUAUAGAGGGGGCAUGGUUUCGAUCGACGAAGAGCUUGGUUACGUGAUAUUACAGGAUUUCAGUUAACUCCUUUCGGAAAUAUAAAAUGCUGAAUUUCUCAAAUUAUAAAAACUGUAUUUGAUGACAUAAAAAAACACAGGGCUCAGAGAGCCAGUCAACUGGUUUCUAUGGCAUAUAAGGGACCAAGUUCACAACAGUCCUCUUGAACAGGAUGGAACUCUGUCAAAGGGUUACUUGUUGACAGCUGAGUGGACUGGAGCAAAGCAUAAAGAAGUGUCUUGCUCAAGAACACAAUACACACCCAGCCUGGAAAUUGAAACCCUGAUCUUAUUACUGUGAGUGGAAUACUUAAACCACUAGGCCACAUGACUUGGACCCUACCCAGAAAAUACAUACGCAUAAGAAAGAAAAACCAAACAAACAAAACUUGAUUUCUUUGCAAAUUUAUUAAAAUUAUAAUAAAUGUAAUAAUUUUCUUUUAAAUGAAAAGUAAAAAAAAAAAGACUAGAAAUUCAAUAUGAAUUAAGAAGCAGUCAAAACAAGCAGCAUUUUUUAUCUUUCUUUUUAGAAGCUGAUGUUGCAGCAACAACAGAUAGCAUAUACAUACACACAUUCUUGAGUCACUGGAAUGGUUAGAGGUUAUAAGGAUCUUCAUGAAAGAUUAUUUUUAAAAUUCAUUCUUCCCAAACUACAAUUCUGGGUUGGACAAAGCUCUGAAUUUUGGAUGUUUGCAUGACAUUUAAAAUUUUUUUUCCCUUUGAGCAGAUAGUUCAUGACAACGAUUUUUUCCAGCCCCUUGUAUUUGUUUUGUCAAUGUGGGUUGAUUACAAUGUCAGGAAAACUAAUUCCUGUUUUGUGGACUCCGAGCAAGUCACAUAAAUAAAAGAACUACCUCCUUAAGUUUCACUACUUUAACUGUAAAAAAAAAAGUUACUAUGGAAACUGAAAGAGCCUUAGAGUUGUCAUGAGCCCUAAGGACUCAUAAGGCCUAAAGCUUCACUGUUUCCAUUGCAUAUGACAGAUUACAAUGAUCCCUCCUGGACAGGAUGCCAGUCCAUCACAGGGUUAACUCUCCAACACAUACUGGAAAUGAUUUAUAUAGUUGAGCAGACUUGAGCAAAGUGAAAUGAAGUGUUUUGCUCAGAAAUGCAAUAUUCUAGCCAUGAGACCAUAUUCCCUCACAAAUGGGGGAACGAAAGAAAAGGACUAAAGAAAAUCAAUCCUCACCA